AAGAUACUAGUAAAAUUGAAUAUUACAUCGCCUUGUCAAGGCAAAAUUGUAGGUUAAAGCCCUGCGUAUCUUA
rnacentral:tRNA from 1 species